rnacentral:rRNA from 1 species
UGAAUACGAGAUGCUACGGCGUCGAAGCAGUCUAUGUCAUACUUCCAAGAAAAGCUCGCACUGUCAUAAACAAAUAAUGCCUGUACCAUAACCGACACAGGUGGGUAGGUAGAGUAUACUAAGGGGCGCGAGAUAACUCUCUCUAAGGAACUCGGCAAAAUGACUCCGUAACUUCGGGAGAAGGAGUGCCUUAUUUAUAAGGUUGCAAUAACAAGAUCCAAGCAACUGUUUAUCAAAAACACAGGUCUCCGCUAAGUCGUAAGACGAUGUAUGGGGGCUGACGCCUGCCCAGUGCCAGAAGGUUAAAGAAGUUGGUUAGCAUUCGCGAAGCUGAUAACUGAAGCCCUGGUGAACGGCGGCCGUAACUAUAACGGUCCUAAGGUAGCGAAAUUCCUUGUCGGGUAAGUUCCGACCCGCACGAAAGGCGUAAUGAUUUGGAUACUGUCUCGGAGAGGGGCUCGGUGAAAUAGACUUGUCUGUGAAGAUGCGGACUACCUGCACCAGGACAGAAAGACCCUAUGAAGCUUUACUGUAACUUGAGAUUGAAAUUGGACUUUACUUGCGCAGUAUAGGUGGGAGGCGUUGAUAAUAUUCUUGCGGGAUUAUUUGAGCCAUCAGUGAGAUACCACUCUUGUAAUGUUAGAUUUCUAACUUUGUAUCAUUAUCUGGUCAAGGGACAGUUUCAGGCGGGCAGUUUGACUGGGGCGGUCGCCUCCUAAACGGUAACGGAGGCGCACAAAGGUUUCCUCUGAACGGGUAGAAAUCGUAUCUAGAGUGUAAAGGCAUAAGGAAGCUUGACUGUGAGACCUACAAGUCGAGCAGGGACGAAAGUCGGUCUUAGUGAUCUGACGGUGCUGAGUGGAAAGGCCGUCACUCAACGGGUAAAAGUUACUCUAGGAUAACAGGCUGAUCUCCCCCAAGAGUUCACAUCGACGGGGAGGUUUGGCACCUCGAUGUCGGCUCAUCGCAUCCUGGGGCGGUAGUACGUCCCAAGGGUUGGGCUGUUCGCCCAUGAAAGCGGUACGCGAGCUGGGUUCAGAACGUCGUGAGACAGUUCAGUCCAUAUCCGGUGUAGGCGUUAGAAUAUUGAGAGGAGCCUUCUUUAGUACGAGAGGACCGAGAAGGACAUACCUCUGGUGUACCAGUUAUCGUGCCAACGGUAAACGCUGGGUAGCUAUGUAUGGAGUGGAUAACCGCUGAAAGCAUCUAAGUGGGAAGCCCACCUCAAGAUAAGUAUUCU